GAUGAACGCUGGCGGCGUGCCUAAUACAUGCAAGUAGAACGCUGAAGGAAGGAGCUUGCUCUUUCGGGAUGAGUGGCGAACGGGUGAGUAACGCGUAGGUAACCUGCCUGUUAGCGGGGGAUAACUAUUGGAAACGAUAGCUAAUACCGCAUAACAGUAGAUGUUGCAUGAUUCCUACUUAAAAGGUGCAAUUGCACCACCACCAGAAGGACCUGCGGUGUAUUAGCUAGUUGGGUAAGUAACGGCUCAACAAGGCGAAGAUACCUAACCGACCUGAGAGGGUGGUCGGCCACACCGGGAAUGAGACAACGCCCAGAACUCUACGGGAGGCAGCAGUAGGGAAUCUUCGGCAAUGGACGGAAGUCUGACCGGGCAACGCCGCGUGAGGGAAGGAGGGUUUCGGAUCGUAAAGCUUCGUUGUAAGGGAAGAACGAAUGUGAGAAUGGAAUAUUCACACUGUGACGGUAUCUUAUCAGAAAGCGACGGCUAACUACGUG
rnacentral:rRNA from 1 species